AUACAACAUGCGGUGCGG
rnacentral:siRNA from 1 species